rnacentral:rRNA from 1 species
UACGGAGGGUGCAAACGUUGCUCGGAAUUAUUGGGCGUAAAGCGCACGUAGGCGGUCUGUUAAGUCGGAUGUGAAAGCCCCGGGCUCAACUCGGGAAGUGCAUUCGAAACUGGCAGGCUUGAGUAUGGAAGAGGGUCGCGGAAUUCCCGGUGUAGAGGUGAAAUUCGUAGAUAUCGGGAGGAACACCAGUGGCGAAGGCGGCGACCUGGGCCAAUAUUGACGCUGAGGUGCGAAAGCGUGGGGAGCAAACAGG